UACGGAGGAUCCAAGCGUUAUACCGGGAUUUAUUGGGUUUGAAAGGGUGCGUAGGCGGCUUUUUAAGUCAGGGGUGAAAGACGGUGGCUCAACCAAUCGCAGUGCCUUUGAUACUGAAGAGCUUGAUUAAACGUUGAGGUAGGCGGAAUGAUGACAAGUAGCGGUGAAAUGACAUAGUAUAUGUCACAGAACACCGACUUGACGAAGGCAGCUUACUAAGGUUUCAAUGAACGCUGAGGCACGAAAGCGUGGGGAUCAAACAGG
rnacentral:rRNA from 1 species